CCUACGGGAGGCAGCAGUGGGGAAUUUUGGACAAUGGGCGCAAGCCUGAUCCAGCCAUGCCGCGUGUGGGAAGAAGGCCUUCGGGUUGUAAACCACUUUUGUCAGGGAAGAAACGGCCUUUACUAAUAUUAGGGGCUAAUGACGGUACCUGAAGAAUAAGCACCGGCUAACUACGUGCCAGCAGCCGCGGUAAUACGUAGGGUGCAAGCGUUAAUCGGAAUUACUGGGCGUAAAGCGUGCGCAGGCGGCUUUGCAAGACAGAUGUGAAAUCCCCGGGCUCAACCUGGGAACUGCAUUUGUGACUGCAUGGCUAGAGUACGGUAGAGGGGGAUGGAAUUCCGCGUGUAGCAGUGAAAUGCGUAGAUAUGCGGAGGAACACCGAUGGCGAAGGCAAUCCCCUGGACCUGUACUGACGCUCAUGCACGAAAGCGUGGGGAGCAAACAGGAUUAGAUACCCUGGUAGUCCACGCCCUAAACGAUGUCAACUGGUUNUUGGACGGCUUGCUGUUCAGUACGAAGCUAACGCGUGAAGUUGACCGCCUGGGGGAGGACGGUCGCGAGUUAGAAGUACGAAUUAGAAGUUGAGGCGNGAGAGNGCGACGGACGACGACGAGGGAGGAGG
rnacentral:rRNA from 1 species